rnacentral:rRNA from 1 species
UACGGAGGGAGCUAGCGUUGUUCGGAAUCAUUGGGCGUAAAGCGCGCGCAGGCGGUUGGGUAAGUCAGGCGUGAAAUCCCAUGGCUCAACCAUGGAAUUGCGUCUGAAACUGCCCGGCUAGAGUUCGGGAGAGGGAAGCGGAAUUCCCAGUGUAGAGGUGAAAUUCGUAGAUAUUGGGAGGAACAUCGGUGGCGAAGGCGGCUUCCUGGACCGAUACUGACGCUGAGGCGCGAAAGCGUGGGUAGCAAACAGG